rnacentral:rRNA from 1 species
GGCUUAGAGUUUGAUCCUGGCUCAGAACGAACGCUGGCGGCAGGCUUAAUACAUGCAAGUCGAACGGCUGUAGCAAUACAGCAGUGGCAGACGGGUGAGUAACACGUGGGAACCUACCUAGGGGUACGGAAUAACUCAGGGAAACUUGUGCUAAUACCGUAUACGACCUUCGGGUGAAAGAUUUAUCGCCCCUAGAUGGGCCCGCGCUGGAUUAGCUAGUUGGUGGGGUAAAAGCCUACCAAGGCGACGAUCCAUAGCUGGUCUGAGAGGAUGAUCAGCCACACUGGGACUGAGACACGGCCCAGACUCCUACGGGAGGCAGCAGUAGGGAAUCUUGGACAAUGGGCGAAAGCCUGAUCCAGCCAUGCCGCGUGAGAGAUGAAGGCCUUAGGGUUGUAAAGCUCUUUCGCC